GCGGCCCCUUUGACCGAAACAGGACGCUCGCCUCGAUUCAGAUCGGCCCGCCGAUGGCGUCGACGGCGGCUUUCGAGAAGGAUUGCCGGAUGCCGGAGGAGGCAGAGGCCGAUGCGCUACUGGCACAGAAGGUGGGCGUGCUGCCCUCCGGGUUCUACGACGCCUUCGUGCUCCGCGACAUCCGCGUCCACGCCGUCUGGCCCAGCCGCCUCCUCUGCCACUUCACCAUCACCGCCCGCCUCCUCAACUCGGGCAACUUCCUGCAAGGGGCGUGACUGCAUUGCUGGUUUACUUGAUGGGCUCUGCUGUACACCGCUGGGUCACAAACCAGGGUCUCACCACUAGAGAUGAACAUCUACCUAGAUACUGCAUCUUCUGAUGUGAGUGACUAUCUUACUCAGUCGGAAUUGGAUGCGAAAUAAUACAUGUGGUGGUUCAUCAGCAUCACUUCUCAAGGUAUGCUUGUUGGUGAUGUUGCUUGUUUAUGUUAUUUUUGGUUUUGUAUGACUUUCUUCCGGAGGAGGUUCAUAUUUAAAAUCAUUUCUGCUCAAUUAUAUCAGGUUGGUCUGUCAUGCUUAAAGCGGAUAUAGUGACUAGUUUGUUAUGUGCUUUGCAGGUUAGUCAUAUGGUUUGUAUAAUGGACCUAUAGCUCGUUCUUGUCUUUUUCAGGUUCAGAAAUCAGCGCAUUAUUAGUUGCUUCACUAUAUGCUUUGAUAUCCAGGUUACAACUAGGAUUUUCAUAUGUAUGUAUAUCACUUAUCACAUAGUAGAACAGUAUUCCUUUUUCUAGCAGAGGAGAAUAAUUUUCAGUGUUAAUUUAGUUGGGUACAGACCAUCAACCAAAAAAGCUCAAAACGUUUUGCCCAUAUAUAGAAUAACUCAAGUCUUGCUAGAACUAGAUAAGAAACAGACUAAUUAACUGUUCGCGAAAACAGUUUCUUCUUUGUUGCAUAAGGACUGUGCAAGAAUUUGGAUUAAGACAUGUCUAAGCUACAGGAAAUAGUAUACAAUGUUAUUUAGUCUAAAAUGAUUCACAUGCAAUUUUUUUCAUAUGUGCUACUAUCCUUUUGAGCAAAUUCAUUUAUAUGUACUACUAAUAAAUCAUUUCUGUUUUUGCAGAACGGAUGGUUCACCAUAAUAGGAGCAUCACAAGACAUUGUAGUCAUUGGUGAAGAAUGAUAUGCAGUGAAACACAAGGAUUUAUGAUGGUGUCCCAUGACUGAAGAUUAUGAAAAAUAAAUCACUCUUCUAGUUGAUGUAUUUCUGGUUAGAUAUGGACUAAAAUAGUUGUCUACAAGGUGUUUUUGGUUUAUAUUUUCUAAAUGGUAUUUAUUAACUCCGCUGUAUGUGAGGAUCAUCUUCAAUAUGUAUGAUUUGGAUUAAUGAAAACAGGUUAUAUACUUUGACUGUCCAA